GACAGAGUAAGGGCGACUGAAAUGUCAAAAGCUCAGCAUGUGAAUCAGCGUUUAUUUUCAUAAAUGUUGAAUUGUGGUCUUACGAUUCUUGCAACACUUAGUCCAGUCCAUGUUUUUUGGAAUAAAAUAGCAAAGAGGGUGAAACUCCUGUUUGUCUGGACUUGCGAAGCAAAAAUCACUGAGUCGAGUUGUUUGGGAUUGCAGCUCAAAUGCGGUGGUAAAUUCCAUCUCAAGCUAAAUACUGGCAGGAAACCGAUAUCGAAAAAGUACCGUGAGGGAAAGAUGAAAAGAACUUUGAAAAGAGAGUGAAAGAGUACCUGAAAUUGCUGAAAAGGAAGCGAACGAAGCUAGUGAUCGCUGCGUCAUACUUUCCACAUUGCUUGCAAUUUGGACGCUGUGSCCGGCCGAGUCCGACUUGAUUGUAAGUUGUGGAAACAGGCAAAKAAAAGUUUUUUUCUUUUGCCUCAUGCAUGAAUGCA
rnacentral:rRNA from 1 species